ACGGGAGGCAGCAGUGGGGGAUAUUGGUCAAUGGGGGAAACCCUGAACCAGCGACGCCGCGUGAAGGAAGAAGGUUUUCGGAUUGUAAACUUCUGUCUUCAGGGAAAAUAAUGAUGGUACCUGAGGAGGAAGCCACGGCUAACUACGUGCCAGCAGCCGCGGUAAUACGUAGGUGGCAAGCGUUGUCCGGAAUUAUUGGGUGUAAAGGGAGCGUAGGCGGAUACAUAAGUUGGUUGUGAAAACUAUAGGCUUAACUUGUAGUUGCGACCAAAACUGUGUACCUUGAGUGUGCUAGAGGUAAGUGGAAUUCCCAGUGUAGCGGUGAAAUGCGUAGAUAUUGGGAGGAACACCAGUGGCGAAGGCGACUUACUGGGGCAUAACUGACGCUGAGGCUCGAAAGCAUGGGUAGCAAACAGGAUUAGAUACCCUGGUA
rnacentral:rRNA from 1 species